rnacentral:rRNA from 1 species
CCAUCAGCUAGUUGGUAGGUAACGGCUUACCAAGGCAUUGACGGUUAGCUGGUCUGAGAGGACGACCAGCCGCACUGGGACUGAGAUACUGCCCAGACUCCUACGGGAGGCUGCAGUCGAGGAUCAUUCGCAAUGGGCGAAAGCCUGACGAUGCGACGCUGCGUGGAGGAUGAAGGCCUUCGGGUUGUAAACUCCUGUCAUAGGGGGCAAAUGGAGAUGCGAUAACAUCAAGUUAACGAGAUGGUACCCUAAGAGGAAGCCACGGCUAACUCUGUGCCAGCAGCCGCGGUAAUACAGAGGUGGCGAGCGUUGUUCGGAUUUACUGGGCGUAAAGGGCGCGUAGGCGGCCGUGUGUGUCGGAUGUGAAAUCUUCGGGCUCAACCCGAAAAGUGCGUUCGAAACUGCAUGGCUGGAGUAUGGAAGGGGAGUGCGGAAUACAGGGUGUAGCGGUGAAAUGCGUUGAUAUCCUGUAGAACACCGGUGGCGAAGGCGGCACUCUGGGACAUAACUGACGCUGAGGCGCGAAAGCAGGGGGAGCAAACAGGAUUAGAUACCCUGGUAGUCCCUGCCCUAAACGGUGUGAACUUGAUGUGGGGGGAUUUCACCCCUCCCGUAUCGGAGCUAACGCGUUAAGUUCACCGCCUGGGGAGUAC